rnacentral:snoRNA from 1 species
AUCCUUUCGUAGUUCAUAAGCAUGAUGAUUGGGUUUUCACAACCAUGGGUGAGAUGUGCCUCCCUCAAACCUUGUUACCACAUCAGCACAUUACCUGUCUGACG